AGGACGCCGCAGGUAUCCACACCUAUCCAGGAAUUGAAGCGCUGCAGGACCGCAACCGGGAGACCACCGCUGUCUGACACUGCCUCUUUAAGAGACGGCCGAGUCUCCAGGCAGUGUUCUCUCAUGCACGGAGAGUUCAUCUGGGAGAUCGCAGGCAUCUGGAAGCAAUCGUAACAUCCCCUGCUACACACAUCGCAGCAGCCCCGGAGCGGUGAGAACACAGAGUAUCCUUUUCUAUUAUCUAAGCGCUACUGUUCCACUAAAUUGAAACAGUGUAGAUAUCUACCAACUGUAUAUAUGCCGAAAAUGGUGCUUGAAAAUCGCACCAAUAGGGGUCCCACCACUAGGGGUCCAUGAGCUAUGGACAAGAGAUGACUGAUGGACAAGGCUGCAUGAGCAGAUGCACCAAUCACCUCCCACCACCACAAGGAGGGACACGCCUCCUUCCCCUGAGAGGAUUUCUAACACUUUGAGCAAAUGAAAAUAGGUCCGCUUUAACAGCAAGCUCUCUGACAAAAAGAAAACCUCAUUUAUAAGAUGACUCCUUGACAUCUAUGGAAGAAUGUGGUGUGCAAGCAUGUACAGAUACCACUGUGCAGGAAGGGAGAGGAG